UCCAAGAAAAGCCUGUGAGGUUUAUUGAAGGACAUACUGUAAGUGCAUGCAUGAUCCGGGCACAAAGACUUCUAAAUGUCCAGCAUUUCCAAGCAAAAGUGUCUCUAUGUAAUCCCUCUGAGGUUACAGACCAUGGAUACUUGUUACUGAAUCCUCAGAUCCUGUAGCUUUGCCUGGUCAUAUGAAGCUGUUGAGUGGAGUUUACAAGGACAAGGAAACUUGUUGCUUGACAUUCGCAUGUGCUUGAAGAACCCUGGUGUUGUAGAUUUGGUUGAAACUGGCCCGUGGAGUUCAACUACCUGAGAAAUACCCUUGAGCAAGACUCCUAGGCACGCUGCCCAAACCACAGGCUGUUGGCAACUUGGCCAAGAGUGACUCGGCAGAGCUGUUGACCUCAGUGGUGCCGAUGAAUACAAUGGGCUGCAGACGAGACUGACUUCCAAGAAGAAGUACUUCAGUUGGAGAAAUGUUCAGAGAAUGUCCUACUUUCAAAACAAGAAAUAAAUUGAUCCAGCACUUCCAAUUCUGGUCUGUAUCACCC